rnacentral:misc_RNA from 1 species
GAUGAAGAACGCAGCGAAAUGCGAUACGUAAUGUGAAUUGCAGAUUUCAGUGAAUCAUCGAAUCUUUGAACGCACAUUGCGCCCGCCAGUAUUCUGGCGGGCAUGCCUGUUCGAGCGUCAUUUCAACCAUCAAGCGCCUCGCUUGUGUUGGGGCCCUGCGGCUGCCGCAGGCCCCUAAAUCCAGUGGCGGGCUCGUCGUCGUACCGAGUGCAGUAAACAUCCUCGCUCAGGGAACCCGACGGGUGCCGGCCGUGAAACCCCCCCUCCUCAAGGUUGACCUCGGAUCAGGUAGGAAUACCCGCUGAACUUAAGCAUACAAUAAGCGGAGGA